rnacentral:rRNA from 1 species
AACCCACGACAGUCAGGAUACAAACUGGGAUUAGAUACCCCACUAUGACCCAAAGGACUUGACGGUGUCCCAUCCAACUAGAGGAGCCUGUUCUAUAAUCGAUAGUCCCCGAUUUACCCAACCCUAUUUUGCUAAUCAGUCUGUAUACCUCCGUCGUAAACUUAUCAUGUGAAUGGUUUGAUGGUCCACCAGUACGUCAGGUCAAGGUGCAGCUCAUAAUAGGGAAGCAAUGGGCUACAGUCUCUAACAUAGAACAUACGAAAUACUGCAUGAAACACAGUUAUGAAGGCGGAUUUAGUAGUAAAAAGAAAGCAACGUGUUCUUUUUAAUAAGGCCCUGGGACGUGUACACACCGCCCGUCACCCUCUUC